GACGAACGCUGGCGGCGUGCUUAACACAUGCAAGUCGAACGGAAAGGCCCUGCUUUUGUGGGGUGCUCGAGUGGCGAACGGGUGAGUAACACGUGAGUAACCUGCCCUUGACUUUGGGAUAACUUCAGGAAACUGGGGCUAAUACCGGAUAGGAGCUCCUGCUGCAUGGUGGGGGUUGGAAAGUUUCGGCGGUUGGGGAUGGACUCGCGGCUUAUCAGCUGGUUGGUGGGGUAGUGGCUUACCAAGGCUUUGACGGGUAGCCGGCCUGAGAGGGUGACCGGCCACCUUGGGACUGAGAUACGGCCCAGACUCCUACGGGAGGCAGCAGUGGGGAAUAUUGCACAAUGGGCGGAAGCCUGAUGCAGCAACGCCGCGUGCGGGAUGACGGCCUUCGGGUUGUAAACCGCUUUCGCCUGUGACGAAGCGUGAGUGACGGUAAUGGGUAAAGAAGCACCGGCUAACUAUGUG
rnacentral:rRNA from 1 species